rnacentral:tRNA from 2 species
GGGGAUGUGGCGAAAUUGGUAGACGCACUGGAUUUAGGUUCCAGCGCCGCAAGGUGUAAGAGUUCGAGUCUCUUCAUCCCCACCA